rnacentral:rRNA from 1 species
UACGUAGGGGGCGAGCGUUGUCCGGAAUCAUUGGGCGUAAAGAGCUCGUAGGCGGCUCGGUAAGUCGGGUGUGAAACCCCCAGGCUCAACCUGGGGACGCCACCCGAUACUGCUGUGGCUAGAGUCCAGUAGGGGAGUGUGGAAUUCCCGGUGUAGCGGUGAAAUGCGCAGAUAUCGGGAGGAACACCAGCGGCGAAGGCGGCACUCUGGGCUGGAACUGACGCUGAGGAGCGAAAGCGUGGGGAGCGAACAGG